UACGGAGGGGACUAGCGUUGUUCGGAAUUACUGGGCGUAAAGCGCACGUAGGCGGAUUUGUAAGUCAGGGGUGAAAUCCCCGGGCUCAACCUGGGAAUGGCGGUGGAUACUGGAUAGCUAGAGUGUGUCAGAGGAUGGUGGAAUUCCCGGUGUAGCGGUGAAAUGCGUAGAGAUCCGGAAGAACACCGGUGGCGAAGGCGGCCUGCUGGGCAGUAGCUGACGCUGAGGCGCGACAGCGUGGGGAGCAAACAGG
rnacentral:rRNA from 1 species